GACAGAGGGUGCAAACGUUGUUCGGAAUUACUGGGCGUAAAGCGUGUGUAGGCGGCUAUGUAAGUCGGAUGUGAAAGCCCCGGGCUCAACUCGGGAAGUGCACUCGAUACUGCGUAGCUUGAGUACCGGAGAGGUUGGUGGAAUUCUCGGUGUAGAGGUGAAAUUCGUAGAUAUCGAGAGGAACACCGGUGGCGAAGGCGGCCAACUGGACGAGUACAUGACGCUGGAGACACGAAAGCGUGGGGAGCAAACAGG
rnacentral:rRNA from 1 species